rnacentral:tRNA from 1 species
GGAGAGGUGGUCGAAUGGUUAAGGCGCUUGUUUGCUAAACAAGUUUGGGAAAUCCCAUUGCAGGUUCGAGUCCUGUCCUCUCCG